rnacentral:rRNA from 1 species
GAUCCUGGCUCAGGAUGAACGCUGGCGGCGUGCUUAACACAUGCAAGUCGAACGAAGCACUUUAAUUGAUUUCUUCGGAAUGAAGUUUUUGUGACUGAGUGGCGGACGGGUGAGUAACGCGUGGGUAACCUGCCCCAUACAGGGGGAUAACAGUUGGAAACGACUGCUAAUACCGCAUAAGCGCACGGGAUUGCAUGAUCAGUGUGAAAAACUCCGGUGGUGUGAGAUGGACCCGCGU